UGUAUCCAGCAAUCGUUGAUCGCUGAAAAACUUUAAAACCAGGGAAAGUUCUUCCUGAUUUCUCCUUGCGUGGUCAACCAAAGCUGAAGUCUCCUGGAUACGUGGGGGCAGGUUCCCUAAAGAUUAUAUCCCCUUCAGGAUACCCAUGAAGAAAUGUAGAUGUUGUACCACACGUGGUGACUAGCAGCACAGUGAGAUCAGAACUGAAACAUGGCACAGGCCCAGCUAGUUGUGCUCUGAAGCACAUCAAAAGCCUGAACAAGUGGAACAGCACAGGGAG